rnacentral:rRNA from 1 species
AACGAACGUUAGCGGCGCGCUUAACACAUGCAAGUCGAGCGAGAAAGGGGCAACCCCGGUAAAGCGGCGCACGGGUGAGUAACACGUAGAUAAUCUACCCCCAGAUGGUGGAUAACCUUCCGAAAGGAGGGCUAAUACAGCAUGAGACCACGACCUCGCAAGGGGAUGGGGUCAAAGCCGGCCUCUUCAUGAAAGCUGGCGUCAGGGGAUGAGUCUGCGGCCCAUCAGCUAGUGGUAGGGUAACGGCCUACCAAGGCGACGACGGGUAGCUGGUCUGAGAGGAUGAUCAGCCACACUGGAACUGAGACACGGUCCAGA